rnacentral:lncRNA from 1 species
ACAUUCAUAAUAUUGCAUCAAUGAAGAUAACGAAAAAGAACAACUUCAAUAGAAGAAAUACACGGGAAAAAAUUCGAGAAAUCCAGCAAAAAGACUGAGGCCGCCUUCUCUUUAUGUAAUCGUCCGACUACCAAUGUAUAUCGAAAACUCAAGGGAGAGAAGAACAGAGAGGGACGAAAUUGCCGAAAUUUCGGUGCCUCCAAGUAGGUGGUGUUGAUCUUUG